rnacentral:rRNA from 1 species
GAUGAACGCUGGCGGCGUGCUUAACACAUGCAAGUCGAACGGAAAGGCCCAAGCUUGCUUGGGUACUCGAGUGGCGAACGGGUGAGUAACACGUGGGUGAUCUGCCCUGCACUUCGGGAUAAGCCUGGGAAACUGGGUCUAAUACCGGAUAGGACCACAUUUUGGAUGGUGUGGUGGAAAGUUUUUCGGUGUGGGAUGAGCUCGCGGCCUAUCAGCCUGUUGGUGGGGUAAUGGCCUACCAAGGCGUCGACGGGUAGCCGGCCUGAGAGGGUGUACGGCCACAUUGGGACUGAGAUACGGCCCAGACUCCUACGGGAGGCAGCAGUGGGGAAUAUUGCACAAUGGGCGCAAGCCUGAUGCAGCGACGCCGCGUGGGGGAUGACGGCCUUCGGGUUGUAAACUCCUUUCGCUAGGGACGAAGCGUUUUUGUGACGGUACCUGGAGAAGAAGCACCGGCUAACUACGUG